rnacentral:rRNA from 1 species
UACGGGGGGGGCAAGGCGUUGUUCGGAAUUACUGGGCGUAAAGGGCUCGUAGGCGGCCAACUAAGUCGGACGUGAAAUCCCUCGGCUUAACCGGGGAACUGCGUCCGAUACUGGAUGGCUCGAGUGUGGGAGAGGGAUGCGGAAUUCCAGGUGUAGCGGUGAAAUGCGUAGAUAUCAGGAGGAACACCGGUGGCGAAGGCGGGUCUCUGGACAGUUCCUGACGCUGAGGCACGAAGGUCAGGGGAGCAAACGGG